ACCUACGGGGGGCAGCAGUAGGGAAUCUUUCCCAAUGGGCGAAAGCCUGAUGGAGCAACGCCGCGUGCAGGAUGAAGGCCUUCGGAUCGUAAAACCCUGUUGUUAGAGAAGAAAGUGCGUGAGAGUAACUGUUCACGUUUCGACGGUAUCUAACCAGAAAGCCACGGCUAACUACGUGCCAGCAGCCGCGGUAAUACGUAGGUGGCAAGCGUUAUCCGGAUUUAUUGGGCGUAAAGGGAACGCAGGCGGUCUUUUAAGUCUGAUGUGAAAGCCUUCGGCUUAACCGGAGUAGUGCAUUGGAAACU
rnacentral:rRNA from 1 species